rnacentral:rRNA from 1 species
GACGAACUGUCCUAACGUUGUUCGGAAUCACUGGGCUUAAAGGGCGCGUAGGCGGACAGUUUAGUCAGAGGUGAAAGCCCAGGGCUCAACCUUGGAAUUGCCUUUGAUACUGGCUGUCUUGAGUUCGGGAGAGGUGAGUGGAAUGCCGAGUGUAGAGGUGAAAUUCGUAGAUAUUCGGCGGAACACCAGUGGCGAAGGCGACUCACUGGCCCGAUACUGACGCUGAGGCGCGAAAGCGUGGGGAGCAAACAGG